UACGUAGGGUGCAAGCGUUAAUCGGAAUUACUGGGCGUAAAGCGUGCGCAGGCGGUUUUGUAAGUCUGGCGUGAAAUCCCCGGGCUCAACCUGGGAAUUGCGAUGGAGACUGCAAGGCUAGAAUCUGGCAGAGGGGGGUAGAAUUCCACGUGUAGCAGUGAAAUGCGUAGAGAUGUGGAGGAAUACCGAUGGCGAAGGCAGCCCCCUGGGAUAACACUGACGCUCAUGCACGAAAGCGUGGGGAGCAAACAGG
rnacentral:rRNA from 1 species